rnacentral:tRNA from 1 species
AGCCCCGUGGUGUAAGGCACACUAGAUUGCAAGUCUAAAGGUGUAGGGUAAUGCCUACCGGGGCUU